rnacentral:rRNA from 1 species
AUUGAACGCUGGCGGCAUGCCUUACACAUGCAAGUCAAACGGCAGCACGGGUGCUUGCACCUGGUGGCGAGUGGCGAACGGGUGAGUAAAGUAUCGGAACGUGCCUGGUAGUGGGGGAUAACUAGUCGAAAGACUAGCUAAUACCGCAUACGAUCUAAGGAUGAAAGCAGGGGACCUUCGGGCCUUGUGCUAUCAGAGCGGCCGAUAUCCGAUUAGCUAGUUGGUGGGGUAAAAGCCCACCAAGGCGACGAUCAGUAGCUGGUCUGAGAGGACGACCAGCCACACUGGAACUGAGACACGGUCCAGACUCCUACGGGAGGCAGCAGUGGGGAAUUUUGGACAAUGGGGGCAACCCUGAUCCAGCAAUGCCGCGUGAGUGAAGAAGGCCCUCGGGUUGUAAAGCUCUUUUGUCAGGGAAGAAAAGGCUGUGGCUAAUAUCCACAGCUGCUGACGGUACCUGAAGAAUAAGCACCGGCUAACUACGUGCCAGCAGCCGCCGUAA